AUUGAACGCUGGCGGCAGGCCUAACACAUGCAAGUCGAGCGGAAGAAGGGAGCUUGCGCCUGGAUUCAGCGUCGGACGGGUGAGUAAUGCCCAGGAAUCUGCCUGGUAGUGGGGGAUAACGUCCGGAAACGGGCGCUAAUACCGCAUACGUCCUGAGGGUGAAAGUGGGGGAUCUUCGGACAUCACGCUAUCAGAUGAGCCUAGGUCGGAUUAGCUAGUUGGUGGGGUAAAGGCCUACCAAGGCGACGAUCCGUAACUGGUCUGAGAGGAUGAUCAGUCACACGGGAACUGAGACACGGUCCAGACUACUACGGGAGGCAGCAGUGGGGAAUAUUGGACAAUGGUCGAAAGCCUGAUGCAGCCAUGCCGCGUGUGUGACGAAGGUCUUCGGAUUGUAAAGCACUGUAAGUUGGGAGGAAGGGCUGUAAGUUAAGACCUUGCUGUUUUGACGUUACCGACAGAAUAAGCACCGGCUAACUACGUG
rnacentral:rRNA from 1 species